ensembl:lncRNA
UGGACGGAUAGCUGCACAUUCUGGAGGACCCCCCCCCCCGUUCAAAUUCCGCAGACUGAUGCUCGGAUAUUUGAAACGUAAUUUGCACUCAAGGACACCCUGCGCAUCGGUGGGUGUAGUUUCUUAUUUGGGGUUUAGAGCGAUCACGCGCGAUAUAUAUUAACGUUAAUGUGUGUUUUUAAAUGGGAAUUGAGAUGCGCAUCCUCCACCCGCCCCCAUCGUUUGUGGAUGUGCACUUGAACGCUUGUCGUGGGUCUGCACAGUGAGGACCACCGGCACCUGGAUGGCCGGUUCGCCCUCUUUUCCUCUCUCUGCUGCCCGAAUGCGCGCACGUCUGUGCCGGUAAUUCCGCCUCUCCUGCUGCCACCCAGUCCCAACACACACAAACACACGCACGCACACGCAAACACAGUCCCGUCUAUUCAGCUCCCAGCAAAACUACCAAUAGAGCUUCCUUCUGCUCGUAUGUGCACGGGAAAGGAGUCGCGCGGUAGAGGAGCGCAGGAGUUGGGAUAAGCAGCCGAACCUGAUCACCUUUUUUCUUUUCUUUUUAACGCCUGUCAAGGGGCUUCUCGUUGUGAUUUAAAACUCAUCUGCUAGCUGACGGAGAGGAGGAAGAGGAAGAUAAAGGGAUUCUGGUGAAAAAGACGCAAACUGAGAGGAGAGAAGGUGGAGAGAUCGAUGAAGUUAUCAGGAAUAUCUGAGCUGGCAACCGGAUGACUCAAAGGAUGGACCAAUGCUUAUGUAUAAGACUAAAGGCAUCAACCCGUCUCCGUGGGACAGCAGAAGACUCGUG